CCUACGGGGGGCAGCAGUGAGGAAUAUUGGUCAAUGGACGAGAGUCUGAACCAGCCAAGUAGCGUGAAGGAUGACUGCCCUAUGGGUUGUAAACUUCUUUUAUAUGGGAAUAAAAUGUUCCACGUGUGGGAUUUUGUAUGUACCAUAUGAAUAAGGAUCGGCUAACUCCGUGCCAGCAGCCGCGGUAAUACGGAGGAUCCGAGCGUUAUCCGGAUUUAUUGGGUUUAAAGGGAGCGUAGGUGGAGUGUUAAGUCAGUUGUGAAAGUUUGCGGCUCAACCGUAAAAUUGCAGUUGAAACUGGCAGUCUUGAGUACAGUAGAGGUGGGCGGAAUUCGUGGUGUAGCGGUGAAAUGCUUAGAUAUCACGAAGAACGCCGAUUGCGAAGGCAGUUCACUGGACUGCAACUGACACUGAGGCUCGAAAGUGUGGGUAUCAAACAGGAUGAGAUACCCGGGUAGUC
rnacentral:rRNA from 1 species